GAUGAACGCUGGCGGCGUGCUUAACACAUGCAAGUCGAACGGAAGGGCCCUGCUUUUGUGGGGUUCUCGAGUGGCGAACGGGUGAGUAACACGUGUGUAACCUGCCCUUGACUUUGGUAUAACUUCAGGAAACUGGGGCUAAUACCGGAUAGGAGCUCCUGCUGCGUUGUGGGGGUUGGAAAUUUUCGGCGGUUGGGGAUGGACUCGCGGCUUAUCAGCUUGUUGGUGGGGUAGUGGCUUACCAGGGCUUUGACGGGUAGCCGACCUGAGAGGGUGACCGGCCACAUUGGGACUACGAUACGCCCCAGUCUGCUACGGUAGGCAGCAGGCGGAAACCUUGCACAGUGGGCCGAAGCCUGUGACAGAAACGUCGCGUGCGGAAUGACGGCCUUCUGGUUAUAAACAGCUUUCGCAUGUGACGAAGCGUGAGUGACGGUAAUGAAUAAAGAAGCACCGGCUAACUACGUG
rnacentral:rRNA from 1 species